CAGUAUCAUGCUUCAAAAAAAAGAUUUCAUUUAUUUUUUUUUUAGGUAAUCUCUACACCCAACGUGGGGCUCGAACUCACAGCCCUGAGGAUAAGAGUCGCGUGUUCUACUGACUAAGCCAGCCAGACUCCCCAACAGUAUCAUGCUUUUCCUAAGCAGUAUCAGCACUUUUCCUAAGAGGGUGGCAGGGUGGAGGGACAGGUAUCUUAAAUACACUACCUAAGGUCACCAAUUUCUGUCUGAUUAAAAAGACAGAGAUGCCCCCUUCCCUCUUUAUACAUUGGAGAACAUCUUCUAUCUCCUCCCCCUCCCCCAGCUCACGCCUUCUCCCCUCUCUCUCCCUGGCACCGGAAGCUGGUCUGUGGCUUUGGCAAAAGUUAAAUACAGAGAAUCAGUGAGAAGGAAGAGAGAUUAGCCUCCCUCAGGAGAAGGGGUCCCCAUCUUACCUCACAGGUUGGCCAGGGCCUGGACUUGUGUAUGAUAAGCAAGAGCCUGCCUGGACCCACAGGGCCUCAGGGAGGCAGAGAUGCAGCAAGAGGGGGACUGCAGCAGAGGCGGAUCUGACCCCGGUCGGAGCAUAAGGCCCGCCCCAGGAGGUAGGGACGGCUCCUCAUCAGCCUCAACCUCCUGCGCGGGUUCACAGAAGAAACCAAAGCAGAACUUCCAAGGGACAGGUGCCAGCGGAACUGCCUUGCCAGCCUCAGACCCUUCGCCUCAGCUCGCACCUGCCUUGAGCACUCGGGCUUCGGCCUCUGGGAAGGCUCCUUUCCCAAGAACAGCAGCAGCAGCCAUAACAAUAUUACUGACUAUUCACCCAGUGCUUACUGUGUUCCAGACCCUGUGCCAAGCACCUUCCGUGAUUAUCAGAUUUCCUCUAACAACCUCAGAAGAUAGGGGCCAUUUUCAUCUUCAUUGGAUGUUUGCAAAGUUGCCCAGCAUAUGAGGGAGGGGUGGAGGCGAGAUUGUGAAGCCAGAGCCCAGCACCCAAAACGCCUCCGGGCGUGCCUCUCUCAUUUGAUAGGAGCAGGUCCCACCUGCUCCUUGGGCCCAGGCAGUAUAUUCACACGUGCAGAACUGACAGGAUCGUGAAACCCUGUCCCACAUCCAGGGCUCCAUAGAGCACUCAUUCAUUUAUCAUGUUGACAAAUAUCUAUUGAGCACCUGCUAUGUGCCAGAUCCUGCACUAGGCGCCAAGGAUGUACCGGUGAACAAAAACAGACCCAAUCUCCGCUCUCACCAAGCAUAUAUUUUAGCGGAAAAAAAUCAAACAAAUACGUAUCCAAUUACAAAUUGUGAUACAUGAAAGAAGGAAAACCACAGCUGGCCUUGAGGGAGAACAAUAUGGAAGGACAUGAUUGAGACAGGGGAGGAGGCCUUUCAGAGAUAAAUAACAUUUAUGCCCUAACAUAAUCCAUCAGUAGCCAGUUGAUUAAUCCAGGACUUAUCGGUGGUCACUUCCACCUGCUGUGAUUUGCGAAGUAAAUCCCUGGGUUUUCCUCUCCAUCAAGAAAAGGGCUGCAGCCCACGGCCAUUUUGCCAUUUGAUAAGAAAAGAGCCCUUGAGUUUCCAGAUCUUGGUGACCUCAGAAGAAAAGGUGAAGGAGCUAGUCUGUGGAGAAGGAAGUUUGGUUUUGAUUUACAAGUCUCCAGAGAAGGGAAGUUCCUUUACCUCAGCUUUUGUUGGAGCGGCCAGUUGUCACUUCCUGGAGCUGCUGCUGGUCCCUGAGAAGACGCCCCACAGAGCUCCCUCUGGCCAGAGAACACCAGGAUCCAGGACACAGAAGGACCUCACUGUUCCAGAGGGCGCAGCGGGGAAAACGUCAAACCCAUCCAUUUACCUGAAGGAAAUAAAAAUGGAUGUCGACACAAAGACUUGCAUGUGAAUUGUCAAAACAGCUCUAUUCAUAGCCCCAAACUGGAAAUGGCCCAGGUGUCCAUCAACAGGCCAACAGAUACACCAUGGAAUAUUCAUACUCAAUAUUAAAGAAGUAAUGAAGAAACAAAUACUGGAGCCACAGAAACUAGCAUUCAGGCCAAGACCAAAGCAUAUGUCUGCGGAUGUACCCUCUCCUAGGCUGCGGAUGCACCCUCUCCUAGGCUGCGGAUGCCAGGGCAUGAUGGGGAUUCCUGGAGGUCGUGGUGAACUCCAGAUAAGAAAACUGAUAAGAAGAGAGGUUGAGUAAC